UACAGAGGGGGCAAGCGUUGUUCGGAAUUACUGGGCGUAAAGGGCGCGUAGGCGGCCUUCUAAGUCGAACGUGAAAUCCCCGGGCUCAACCCGGGAACUGCGUCCGAUACUGGAAGGCUUGAAUCCGGGAGAGGGAUGCGGAAUUCCAGGUGUAGCGGUGAAAUGCGUAGAUAUCUGGAGGAACACCGGUGGCGAAGGCGCAUCCUGGACCGGCAUUGACGCGUGAGGCGCGAAAGCCAGGGGAGCAAACGGGAUUAGAUGACCCCU
rnacentral:rRNA from 1 species